rnacentral:rRNA from 1 species
UACGUAGGUGGCAAGCGUUGUCCGGAUUUACUGGGCGUAAAGGGCGUGCAGGCGGUCUGUUAAGUCUAGGGUGAAAGCUCCCGGCUCAACUGGGAGAGGUCCUUGGAUACUGGCGGACUUGAGGGAGGCAGAGGAAAGUGGAAUUCCAAGUGUAGCGGUGAAAUGCGUAGAGAUUUGGAGGAACACCAGUGGCGAAGGCGACUUUCUGGUCUGCAACUGACGCUGAGGCGCGAAAGCAUGGGGAGCAAACAGG